CAGAGUUCAUGCCCUUCGGGGUAGAUCUCCCACCCUUGUGUAUCAUUACCUUUGUUGCUUUGGCAGGCCGUCAGGCUUCGGCCCGGCUACCGGCUCCGGCUGGUAAGCGCCUGCCAGAGGACCCAAAACUCUGAAUGUUAAUGUCGUCUGAGUACUAUAUAAUAGUUA
rnacentral:misc_RNA from 1 species